CCUACGGGUGACAGCAGUGAGGAAUAUUGGUCAAUGGGCUUGCGCCUGAACCAGCCAAGUCGCGUGAGGGAAGACUGCCCUAUGGGUUGUAAACCUCUUUUGUCAGGGAGCAACGCCGGCUACGUGUGGCCUGACGUAUAGUACCCGGAGAAAAAGCAUCGGCUACCUCCUUGCCAGCAGCCGCGGUAGUCCGGAGGAUCCGAGAGUUAUCGGGAUUUAUGGGGUUUAAGGGGUGCUUUGGCGGAUCGUUAAGUCGGUGGUCAAGUUGAGGGGCUCAACCCAUUCCCGCCAUUGAAACUGGCGGUCUUGAGUGGAAGAGAGGUAGGCGGAAUGCGUGGUGUAGCGGUGAAAUGCAUAGAUAUCACGCAGAACCCCGAUUGCGAAGGCAGCAUGCCGGAUUGCGACUGACGCUGAUGCACGAAAGCGUGGGGAUCGAACAGGAUUAGAUACCCCGGUAGUC
rnacentral:rRNA from 1 species